AUACGUAGGUGGCAAGCGUUGUCCGGAAUUAUUGGGCGUAAAGCGCGCGCAGGCGGUCCUUUAAGUCUGAUGUGAAAGCCCACGGCUCAACCGUGGAGGGUCAUUGGAAACUGGGGGACUUGAGUGCAGAAGAGGAAAGUGGAAUUCCAAGUGUAGCGGUGAAAUGCGUAGAGAUUUGGAGGAACACCAGUGGCGAAGGCGACUUUCUGGUCUGUAACUGACGCUGAGGCGCGAAAGCGUGGGGAGCAAACAGGAUUAGAUACCCUGGUAGUCCACGCCGUAAACGAUGAGUGCUAAGUGUUAGGGGGUUUCCGCCCCUUAGCGCUGCAGCUAACGCAUUAAGCACUCCGCCUGGGGAGUACGGUCGCAAGACUGAAACUCAAAUGAAUUGACGGGG
rnacentral:rRNA from 1 species